GGCACUGCAAAAAGGAUUGUCUGCGACACCGACGCUAUUGCUUCGAACUGCGAUUUUGGUCACGUUUGCUGGGUGACGUGUCCGCAAAAUUGCGCGCUGGACCGCAAGCUAUACGGCACCGAGACGUACACAUACGACUCAGCCAUCUGCGUUGCCGCAAUCCACGACCUCCGACUGUCUCCGUGGAACAGAACCCAUCGCACAGUUGCCUUCCAACGAGACGAGGAUGCAGGAAGUUACCGGGGAUCGUGGCGAAACGGGGUCAAGACGUACAGUUACGGGAGCCUACGCACUUAUAGAGGAAGCUACCGCUUUGUAAGCCAACGUAUUCAAG